GCCAGCAGCCAUAUCACCUUACAAUUCACAACCGGUAGCCCCACUGAAGCUCAGCAGGUGUGAGCCUGGUCAGUACCUGGAUGGGAGACCUCCUGGGAAAAACUAAGGUUGCUGCUGGAA
rnacentral:rRNA from 1 species